GGGGAUUUAGCUCAGCGGUAGAGCACUUGUCUAGCAAGCACAAGGCCCUGGGUUCGGUCCCCAGCUCCA
rnacentral:tRNA from 1 species